UUCGUACAUAAAACAUUUAUUAGAACUUGGAUUUAGCGUCAUGACAAGUGAAGAUUAUAGAAGAUUGGGGGAAAAAAAAAUGUCUACUUUUUACAGGUGCCGGUUUGUGCCAUAAUGAUGGGAAUGAUUAGCACUAUGUUUCUAUUUUUUUCAUUCUAUUUUAUAAAAUUUUUAUUAUUCCUCUACAUUUCCAUUUUCGUUAUCAUCGGC
rnacentral:lncRNA from 1 species